AACCUGGAAGUGGGACCAGCGGGAGGGAGUCAGUCAGCAGACCCCGCCUCACACGAGGUCCCCGCUGCCCGUCCUAUUAGCCCUGAGCUAACUGCUGCCAAUCCUCCUCUUUUUGCGGGAAAGACUGGCCCUGAGCUAACAUCUGUGCCGAUAUUCCUCCACUUUACACGUGGGAUGCCUACUACAGCAUGGCUUGCCAAGCGGUGCCAUGUCCGCACCCAGGAUCCGAACCGGCGAACCCCGGGCCGCCGAGAAGCAGCACAUGCGCACUUAACCGCUGUGCCACCAGGCCGGCCCCUGUAAAAUAAUUUUAUAGUAAAUAUGCACCAAUAUUUUAAAACCCACCAAAAAAUGGAUAAAUUUCUGGAAAAAUAAAAAGUUCUAAUGUUGAUGAAAGAAGAAAGAGAAAAUUAGAAUAGACCAAUAAGCAUUAAAGAAAAUGAAAUUGCAAUUAAGCACUUCUCCCGAAAAAGCACAGGCCGA
rnacentral:lncRNA from 1 species